CAGUGUUGCUGGAGCCAGAGGUCCUCUGAAUCGAUGAAAGAACUACAAAGAGAAAAGAGGAAAGAAGAGAAUCAGUAAACUUGACAAGUCUUUUCCAGCCAGAUGUGGUGCUGCAUGCCUGGAGAUUACCUUUCCAUACGGCACAAAUAAUCAGAUUCCUCCUGCCUAGGGAAAACUGCAUUCACAAUUCUACAGGUAAUGGGAAAACGAUGGUGACAAACUUGUUCAAGAUGAGCACAGCAUUUUCUUUGGUCCUGAGUGACUGACACCGUGAUGAACUUGUUUCCAAGCCAAAUAUAACUGGGAGACCUGGACAUGUACAAUGUCUCAUAUAUUCAGCCACAGCUAAUUCUUUUCCGAUGCACUAACAUAUUUAUCUCAAUUCUUUCCCCUUUUGUCUAAUUCUACCGAAAAAUAUAGUUUAAGUUCCCCAAAUAUAAGAAAAAUAAAAAUUUAUUUUAAAACUAUUAUAUUAAUUAUUAUCAACAGUCUAUAAAAUCCAA